rnacentral:tRNA from 1 species
GGAACGUUAGCUCAGUUGGUUCAGAGCAUCGCCUUGACAGGGCGGGGGUCAGGGGUUCGAGUCCCUUACGUUCCA